CAAAACGCUGAAAGUCACCAAACAGGGAGAAGAAGGAAGAAACCCCCAACGUUUACGGUAAACUUCAACUUGCCGUAACUCCUCCGUCCGAGCUCCGAUCGCCGCAUCGUUUGUGGCCAUGCGACCACCGCGUUGAGCUCUACAUUUUUACUAGAACAAUUUCAUAGGAUCCAAUUAGCUUGAAAAAAAUAUUUACUCUUACUUAUGUGAAGCUUAGGUAAGGUGAGGAUAUAAUAAUUUUAUCUAAAUAUUCUGAAUUGAUGUUUUUGGGAAUUAAAUUGGGUAUAUAUGUGUUAUGAAUGUGUAUUAGGUUGUGAAUAAAUAAUUGAAACUGAAAAUUGUGAAUACCGGAACUUGGAGGAAGCUGUUUAGUUGAGGUUUUGGGGCUAUGAUUGGUUUUAAUAAAUUGCCUUGGUCAUUACGAGGAAAAUCGGCUAAGAUGCAGGUCGAGAGGCAUCUCGUUAGGCGUCUGGACUCCUGAAGCGAAGUAGUUACUGGGUUAUUUUGUAGUGCAGUGAUGUAUAUAUAUAUGUACUUAGCUUUCUCUCCGCAUAA